rnacentral:rRNA from 1 species
UGCCAGCCGCCGCGGUAAUACGGAGGGUCCAAGCGUUAUCCGGAUUUAUCGGGUUUAAAGGGUGCGUAGGCGGUGCUUUAAGUCAGUGGUGAAAGCCUACCGCUUAACGGUAGAAAGUCCAUUGAAACUGGAGCACUUGAGUUAAGAAGAGGUAAGUAGAAUUUAUAGUGUAGCGGUGAAAUGCUCAGAUAUUAUAAGGAAUUCCAAUAGCGAAAGCAACUUACUGGUCUUUAACUGACGCUGAGGCACGAAAGCUUGGGGAGCAAACAGGAUUAGAUA